GUACUCCUGGGAUGUUCGACAGUGCCUAUAUUUUGAACCUACAACGUUAAUACGGGAGUCUGCGUUUAGAGGCGUAUAGCAGGCCACAACCUAAUUCCGACAUUCUUUUAUGGAUGCAACGGCAGUGGAAGCUAAAAACUUAUAGCAGGACACCCACCUAGCUUGGGCUAGGUGUCAAAAUCUAGGUGAACGGCAUUUUGGGUUUAAC
rnacentral:other from 1 species